UCCCUUCUCGCUUGGGAACUCUAGUCUCGCCUCGGGUUGCAAUGGACCCCAACUGCUCCUGUGCCGCUGGCUGCUGCUCCUGCUGCCCUGUGGGCUGUGCCAAGUGUGCCCAGGGCUGCAUCUGCAAAGGGGCAUCGGAGAAGUGCAGCUGCUGCGCCUGAUGUCGGGACAGCCCUGCUCCCAAGUACAAAUAGAGUGACCCGUAAAAUCCAGGAUUUUUUGUUUUUUGCUACAAUCUUGACCCCUUUGCUACAUUCCUUUUUUUCUGUGAAAUAUGUGAAUAAUAAUUAAACACUUAGACUUGA
rnacentral:lncRNA from 1 species